rnacentral:rRNA from 1 species
GGGGGGAGGCUAUACAUGCAGUCGUACGCUUCUUUUUCCACCGGAGCUUGCUCCACCGGAAAAAGAAGAGUGGCGAACGGGUGAGUAACACGUGGGUAACCUGCCCAUCAGAAGGGGAUAACACUUGGAAACAGGUGCUAAUACCGUAUAACAAUCGAAACCGCAUGGUUUUGAUUUGAAAGGCGCUUUCGGGUGUCGCUGAUGGAUGGACCCGCGGUGCAUUAGCUAGUUGGUGAGGUAACGGCUCACCAAGGCCACGAUGCAUAGCCGACCUGAGAGGGUGAUCGGCCACAUUGGGACUGAGACACGGCCCAAACUCCUACGGGAGGCAGCAGUAGGGAAUCUUCGGCAAUGGACGAAAGUCUGACCGAGCAACGCCGCGUGAGUGAAGAAGGUUUUCGGAUCGUAAAACUCUGUUGUUAGAGAAGAACAAGGAUGAGAGUAACUGUUCAUCCCUUGACGGUAUCUAACCAGAAAGCCACGGCUAACUACGUGCCAGCAGCCGCGGUAAUACGUAGGUGGCAAGCGUUGUCCGGAUUUAUUGGGCGUAAAGCGAGCGCAGGCGGUUUCUUAAGUCUGAUGUGAAAGCCCCCGGCUCAACCGGGGAGGGUCAUUGGAAACUGGGAGACUUGAGUGCAGAAGAGGAGAGUGGAAUUCCAUGUGUAGCGGUGAAAUGCGUAGAUAUAUGGAGGAACACCAGUGGCGAAGGCGGCUCUCUGGUCUGUAACUGACGCUGAGGCUCGAAAGCGUGGGGAGCAAACAGGAUUAAUCGGGGUGGGUUCAAAAAAAAAAACCGCCGCUGUGGAAACGGUCAGAGAAUCAGG